AACGAACGCUGGCGGCAGGCUUAACACAUGCAAGUCGAACGCACCUUCGGGUGAGUGGCAGACGGGUGAGUAACGCGUGGGAACCUUCCCUGUGGUACGGAAUAGCUCCGGGAAACUGGAAUUAAUACCGUAUACGCCCUUUUGGGGAAAGAUUUAUCGCCAUAGGAUGGGCCCGCGUCGGAUUAGCUUGUUGGUAGGGUAAUGGCCUACCAAGGCAACGAUCCGUAGCUGGUCUUAGAGGAUGAUCAGCCACACUGGGACUGAGACACGGCCCAGACUCCUACGGGAGGCAGCAGUGGGGAAUAUUGGACAAUGGGCGAAAAGCCUGAUCCAGCCAUGCCGCGUGAGUGACGAAGGCCUUAGGGUUGUAAAACUCUUUUGGCGGGGACGAUAAUGACGGUACCCGCAGAAUAAGCCCCGGCUAACUUCGUG
rnacentral:rRNA from 1 species